rnacentral:snoRNA from 1 species
AUUGAUGAUGAAAUGAGCUGACCAAUGGCGCAAAGAUGCUCCUAAAUGCUGAUGUAUC